AUGAACGCUGGCGGCGUGCCUAAUACAUGCAAGUCGAGCGAACGGACGAGAAGCUUGCUUCUCUGAUGUUAGCGGCGGACGGGUGAGUAACACGUGGAUAACCUACCUAUAAGACUGGGAUAACUUCGGGAAACCGUAGCUAAUACCGGAUAAUAUUUUGAACCGCAUGGUUCAAAAGUGAAAGACGGUCUUGCUGUCACUUAUAGAUGGAUCCGCGCUGCAUUAGCUAGUUGGUAAGGUAACGGCUUACCAAGGCAACGAUGCAUAGCCGACCUGAGAGGGUGAUCGGCCACACUGGAACUGAGACACGAUCCAGACUCCUACGGGAGGCAGCAGUAGGGAAUCUUCCGCAAUGGGCGAAAGCCUGACGGAGCAACGCCGCGUGAGUGAUGAAGGUCUUCGGAUCGUAAAACUCUGUUAUUAGGGAAGAACAUAUGUGUAAGUAACUGUGCACAUCUUGACGGUACCUAAUCAGAAAGCCACGGCUAACUACGUG
rnacentral:rRNA from 1 species